rnacentral:rRNA from 1 species
AACGAACGCUGGCGGCAUGCCUAACACAUGCAAGUCGAACGAGACCUUCGGGUCUAGUGGCGCACGGGUGCGUAACGCGUGGGAACCUGCCCUUAGGUUCGGAAUAACUCCCCGAAAGGGGUGCUAAUACCGGAUAAUGUCUUCGGACCAAAGAUUUAUCGCCUUGGAUGGGCCCGCGUUGGAUUAGCUAGUUGGUAGGGUAAAAGCCUACCAAGGCGACGAUCCAUAGCUGGUCUGAGAGGAUGAUCAGCCACACUGGGACUGAGACACGGCCCAGACUCCUACGGAAGGCAGCAGUGGGGAAUAUUGGACAAUGGGCGAAAGCCUGAUCCAGCAAUGCCGCGUGAGUGAUGAAGGCCUUAGGGUUGUAAAGCUCUUUUACCCGGGAUGAUAAUGACAGUACCGGGAGAAUAAGCUCCGGCUAACUCCG